rnacentral:rRNA from 1 species
CCCAGACUCCUACGGGAGGCAGCAGUGGGGGAUAUUGCACAAUGGGGGGAACCCUGAUGCAGCGACGCCGCGUGGGUGAAGGAGCGUUUCGGCGCGUAAAGCCCUAUCGGCAGGGAAGAAGGAGGACGGUACCUGACUAGGAAGCCCCGGCUAACUACGUGCCAGCAGCCGCGGUAAUACGUAGGGGGCAAGCGUUAUCCGGAUUUACUGGGUGUAAAGGGGGCGCAGACGGCAGCGCAAGCCAGGAGUGAAAGCCCGGGGCCCAACCCCGGGACUGCUCUUGGAACUGCGCGGCUGGAGUGCAGGAGGGGCAGGCGGAAUUCCUGGUGUAGCGGUGAAAUGCGUAGAUAUCAGGAGGAACACCGGUGGCGAAGGCGGCCUGCUGGACUGCGACUGACGUUGAGGCCCGAAAGCGUGGGGAGCAAACAGGAUUAGAUACCCUGGUAC